AAUUUAGGAUGCAGCACACUUCAUCUUCCUAGGCAUGAAUCAUCUUAGACUACUUUAGCAAACAUGAUUAGUAACUAGCAUGCUCAAAGUUUAAAUAUCAUAAAGGAAUAUUUCAUUGAAAAUAAGAAUUUAAACAAGCUCCAAAAUAAUAAAAAAAAUAAGAACUACAAUGCCCUGAUACAUUGCUAAGGCUUCAUCCAGCCCUAGACUAGACGUUUAGCCGCGCAUGGCUUCCGGACGACCUUCCAUCUUCAAAUAAAAUUGAUCACCUCCCAUUAUUCCCAAAGUAUCCAAAACUAUUCUCUUUCCCCCUCCUUUCUCUCUUUUUUUAUUUCUUUUUCUCCUCUUCCCUCUCGGUUUUCUUCUUCUUUUCACCGAAACAGGGGGUCUCCCCUAUUUUCUCAACCGAGCUCUCCCCCUCUGAUGGCCACCCUCCUCCUUUUAUAGAGGAUGAAGGGCGUCAAUCCGUGGAAAUGGUUGGAUCUUGGGAGGAAUACGUGGCCCGUGGAGCGUCGGAUUGACUGUAGAUGGCCGAAAAUGGAGCUAGCCGCUGGAUCGACGGGUGGUGGAUGGAAGAAGACGAGAUGGCCGCGGGAUCGAUGGGAGGCUGAUGCGGAAUGUCUGGAUCUCGGAGAAGACGGGGACAGAGCUGGAGAUGGAUGCCGAGCUGGGUUAUCGGCUGUUGGGAGCUGAUCACGGCUUGGUGCUAGGGAUCAAUCCGGAAGGGGAGACGACACAGAUGCUUGGAUGCUGGGUGAUUGCUGGGUCGGAGGCGUCAUGGGCGGAAGAAUAAGGUGGCCGGAUCCAUGGCGUGAUACACUGGGAGGAUGCGGAGCUUGUCUCGGACGCUCGGAAC
rnacentral:lncRNA from 1 species